CUACGGGAUGCACCAGUGGGGAAUAUUGGACAAUGGGCGCAAGCCCGAUCCAGCAAUGCCGCGUGAGUGAAGACGGCCUUAGGGUUGUAAAACUCUUUCGCUAGGGAAGAUAAUGACUGUACCUAGUAAAGAAGUCCCGGCUAACUCCGUGCCAGCAGCCGCGGUAAUACGGAGGGGACUAGCGUUGUUCGGAAUUACUGGGCGUAAAGAGUUCGUAGGCGGACUGACAAGUUAGAGGUGAAAUCCCAGGGCUCAACCCUGGAACUGCCUUUAAAACUGUCAGUCUAGAGACCGGAAGAGGUUAGGGGAAUACCUAGUGUAGAGGUGAAAUUCGUAGAUAUUAGGUGGAACACCAGUAGCGAAGGCGCCUAACUGGUCCGGUACUGACGCUGAGGAACGAAAGCGUGGGGAGCAAACAGGAUUAGAUACCCGAGUAGUC
rnacentral:rRNA from 1 species